GACGAACGCUGGCGGCGUGCUUAACACAUGCGAGUCGAACGGAAAGGCCCUGCUUUUGUGGGGUGCUUGAGUGGCGAACGGGUGAGUAACACGUGAGUAACCUGCCCUUGACUUUGGGAUAACUUCAGGAAACUGGGGCUAAUACCGGAUAGGAGCUCCUGCUGCAUGGUGGGGGUUGGAAAGUUUCGGCGGUUGGGGAUGGACUCGCGGCUUAUCAGCUUGUUGGUGGGGUAGUGGCUUACCAAGGCUUUGACGGGUAGCCGGCCUGAGAGGGUGACCGGCCACAUUGGGACUGAGAUACGGCCCAGACUCCUACGGGAGGCAGCAGUGGGGAAUAUUGCACAAUGGGCGGAAGCCUGAUGCAGCAACGCCGCGUGCGGGAUGACGGCCUUCGGGUUGUAAACCGCUUUCGCCUGUGACGAAGCGUGAGUGACGGUAAUGGGUAAAGAAGCACCGGCUAACUACGUG
rnacentral:rRNA from 1 species